rnacentral:rRNA from 1 species
AGAGUUUGAUCAUGGCUCAGGACGAACGCUGGCGGCGUGCUUAACACAUGCAAGUCGAACGGAAAGGCCCUUCGGGGUACUCGAGUGGCGAACGGGUGAGUAACACGUGGGUGAUCUGCCCUGCACUUUGGGAUAAGCCUGGGAAACUGGGUCUAAUACCGAAUAUGACCACGCUCUUCAUGGGGUGUGGUGGAAAGCUUUUGCGGUGUGGGAUGGGCCCGCGGCCUAUCAGCUUGUUGGUGGGGUAAUGGCCUACCAAGGCGACGACGGGUAGCCGGCCUGAGAGGGUGACCGGCCACACUGGGACUGAGAUACGGCCCAGACUCCUACGGGAGGCAGCAGUGGGGAAUAUUGCACAAUGGGCGCAAGCCUGAUGCAGCGACGCCGCGUGAGGGAUGACGGCCUUCGGGUUGUAAACCUCUUUCACCAGGGACGAAGCGCAAGUGACGGUACCUGGAGAAGAAGCACCGGCCAACUACGUGCCAGCAGCCGCGGUAAUACGUAGGGUGCGAGCGUUGUCCGGAAUUACUGGGCGUAAAGAGCUCGUAGGUGGUUUGUCGCGUUGUUCGUGAAAACUCACAGCUUAACUGUGGGCGUGCGGGCGAUACGGGCAGACUAGAGUACUGCAGGGGAGACUGGAAUUCCUGGUGUAGCGGUGGAAUGCGCAGAUAUCAGGAGGAACACCGGUGGCGAAGGCGGGUCUCUGGGCAGUAACUGACGCUGAGGAGCGAAAGCGUGGGGGGCGAACAGGAUUAGAUACCCCGGUAGUCCAA